UACGUAGGGGGCAAGCGUUGUCCGGAAUCAUUGGGCGUAAAGCGCGUGUAGGCGGUUCAGUAAGUCUGCUGUGAAAGUCCAGGGCUCAACCCUGGGAUGCCGGUGGAUACUGCUGGGCUAGAGUACGGAAGAGGCGAGUGGAAUUCCCGGUGUAGCGGUGAAAUGCGCAGAUAUCGGGAGGAGCAUCAGUGGCGAAGGCGGCUACCUGGCCCAAUACUGACACUCAGGUGCGACAGCGUGGGGAGCAAACAGG
rnacentral:rRNA from 1 species